rnacentral:rRNA from 1 species
UACAGAGACUGCAAGCGUUAUUCGGAUUCACUGGGCGUAAAGGGUGCGCAGGCGGUCGGGUGUGUCAGAUGUGAAAUCCCGAGGCUCAACCUCGGAACUGCGUCUGAAACUACUCGACUAGAGUACUGGAGAGGGUAACGGAAUUCACGGUGUAGCAGUGAAAUGCGUAGAUAUCGUGAGGAACACCAGAGGCGAAGGCGGUUACCUGGACAGUUACUGACGCUCAGGCACGAAAGCCUGGGGAGCAAAAGGG